rnacentral:SRP_RNA from 1 species
GCUGGGCAUAAUGGCACACACCAAUAAGCCUAUCUACUCUGGAGUCUGAGGCAGGAGGAUUGCUAGAGCCCAGGAGUUUUGGGCUAGAGUGUGCUAUGUUGUUCAAGUGUCCACACUAAGUUCAGCAUCAAUAUGGUGACCUCCUGGAAGGGAGGAACCACCAGGUUGCCUAAGUGGAGGUGAACCGGCCCAGGUCAAAACAGAGCAGGUCAGUAGCAGGAUCAUGCCUGUGAAUAGCUACUGUGCUCCAGCCUGGGCAACAUAGUGAGACGCCAUCUCU